ACGACUUUUCUCUACAAACUUGCGGGGGAAGCGAAUCAUCUAUGGCAUGAAGGCGAAGAAUUUUAUCGAUCGAUUACUCAGAUUAGAAAUUAGAAAUCCCAUUACAACUCACAUGUUUGAUUGAUGCAUUGCUCUGAUUAGAGGAGUAGAAUCAUGGCGGGGAGUUCGCUGGCGAUGAUUGUGACCAACACUCCGGCUAAAGAUCUAGCUUACACCAAUUUCGCCUACUGCUCUCCUUCCGAUCUCCGCAACUUUCUUGUCCCUGGAUCGAAGCUCGCCUACGCUUUGAUCGGGGAUGCGUUCGUUUUGUCUAUUGCUGGAAAUGACGCCGUUCCUAGUGGCCAUAUUGGUCUUAAUGCAAUUCAACGUCGCUAUGCUAGAGUCUCCACUGGUGAUUCAAUCUCGAUGUCCAGAUUUAUACCUCCUGAGAAUAUUAAUCUUGCACUCCUAACUCUUGAAUUGGAGUUCGUAAAGAAAGGGGCAAAAGAUGAGCAGGUGGAUGCUGUACGUUUAUCCCAGCAAAUUCACAAGAGAUUUGCCAACCAGGUUAUGACAGUUGGGCAAAGAGUGACAUUUGAAUAUCAAGGCAGUGCAUUUAUCUUCACUGUUAAUCAAGCUUCUGUAGAAGAGCAAGACAAAUCUAGUGGUAUUGAAAGAGGGGUUAUAACUGACGACACAUACAUAAUAUUUGAAGCUCAAAAUUCAAGUGGAAUAAAGAUUAUCAACCAGCGAGAAGCGGCUAGCAGCAACAUCUUUAGGCAUAAAGAAUUCAAUCUUCAAUCAUUUGGUAUAGGUGGUUUGAGUGAAGAGUUUGCUGAUAUAUUCCGAAGAGCUUUUGCUUCUAGAGUUUUUCCUCCACAUGUGACCUCUAAACUUGGAAUAAAACAUGUGAAAGGAAUGCUGCUUUUUGGACCUCCUGGUACUGGGAAAACCUUGAUGGCUCGCCAGAUUGGGAAAAUGUUGAAUGGGAAGGAACCAAAGAUUGUGAAUGGACCUGAAGUGUUGAGCAAAUUUGUUGGUGAAACUGAGAAAAAUGUGCGAGACCUGUUUGCGGAUGCUGAGUAUGAUCAAAAAACUAAAGGUGAUCAAAGUGAUCUGCACAUCAUCAUUUUUGAUGAAAUUGAUGCCAUUUGUAAGUCUAGAGGUUCAACAAGGGAUGGGACUGGUGUUCAUGAUAGUAUUGUGAACCAACUCCUCACCAAGAUUGAUGGUGUGGAAUCACUGAACAAUGUCCUACUCAUCGGAAUGACUAACAGGAAAGAUUUGCUUGAUGAAGCUCUUUUGAGGCCUGGACGCCUGGAAGUCCAAGUGGAGAUCAGCCUUCCUGACGAGAAGGGUCGUUUACAAAUUCUUCAGAUUCAUACAAACAAGAUGAAAGAGAAUUCUUUUAUCGCUCCAGAUGUGAACUUGGAAGAGAUCGCCGCUCGUACCAAAAAUUAUAGCGGGGCAGAGCUUGAAGGUGUUGUAAAAAGUGCUGUAUCAUAUGCUCUGAACAGGCAACUCAGCUUGGAUGAUCUCACCAAACAAGUGGAUGAGGAGAGCAUAAAAGUUACAAUGGAUGAUUUUUUGAAUGCCCUUCGAGAAGUUAUUCCUGCAUUUGGAGCUUCUACAGAUGACCUUGAACGCAGCAGACUUAAUGGCAUCAUGGAUUGUGGAGCACGACAUGAUCAUAUUUAUCGUAGAACCAUGCUUCUAGCAGAACAAGUUAAAGUUAGUCAUGGAAGCCCACUAGUAACUUGCCUUCUGGAAGGAUCAAGUGGAAGUGGUAAGACUGCCAUGGCCUCAACAGUUGGUAUUGAAAGUGACUUCCCCUAUGUCAAAAUUAUCUCUGCUGAAACAAUGAUUGGACUCAGUGAACCCACAAAAUGUGCUCAUAUCGUAAAGGUAUUUGAAGAUGCUUACAAAUCUCCACUAAGCAUAAUCAUCCUCGAUGACAUUGAAAGGCUCCUGGAGUAUGUCCCUAUUGGACCUCGGUUUUCAAAUUUAAUUUCUCAGACAUUGUUGGUGCUCCUGAAACGGCUUCCGCCAAAAGGGAAAAAAGUUCUUGUUAUCGGUACCACGAGUGAAUUUGAUUUCUUGGACUCGGUCGGGAUUCGAGAUGCAUUCUCGGUCACGUACCAUGUUCCAACACUCAAGACAGAAGAUGCCAAAAAGGUGUUGCAGCAACUUAACGUUUUCUCAAGCGACGAUAUUGAUUCUGCUGCAGAGGCACUGAAUGAUAUGCCCCUUAAGAAGAUAUACAUGGUAAUCGAAAUGGCGGCCCAGGGUGAACACGGUGGAAGCGCCGAAGCCAUAUAUUCUGGCAAAGAAAAGAUCAGUACUUCUCACUUCUACGAAUGCCUUCAGGAUAUGGUGCGAUAUUAAUGCAACAUUUUCCUCAUCCUCGACUACGUUCGACUCCCCAUUUGGGGUAAUUCAGGCUUUUUUUUUUUGCGCAAGUGAAAGAGAUUGUAUCCAGCCUUUUGUUUCAUUCACGUGAAGGAAAAAAAUGUCUAUAUCGUUCGGUUUCGUUCGCGGGGAGGAGUCUACGAUCGAUGGUGAAUCUGUGAGGGAUUCCGAAUCCAAAUUCUAAAGUUUAGGUUUAUUUCGCACAAGGGAGAAACGGGUAAGGUGGAUGUUCAAUUCCUCAGCUUGUGAUGUUCUUUUGGGGUAAUGAUAUUGUUGGUUGAUUGCAAUAGUGCUGUUAGGAUUCACGAUUGAUUUCGGUAAGUAUUUCACUAUUGCUUCGGUGAUUGUUGUCUUGUUUGCGAUUAUGAUUGCAGUGGUUUUUAAUUAUGUAUGACAUUUUGUUAAGAGGAUAUGUAUUGGAAAAAAUAUUUGUAGGAGUUGUUGCAAUCUCCUGUUAGUAUGCGUGGGUAUUUUCACGGAUAUAUUUUUACAGUGUAAUAUACAUAUAUUUAUUAAUCUUAUACCUAUGGUUUUUU